GUGCUUGCUUUGGCAGCACAUAUACUAAAAUUGGAGUGAUACAGAGAUUAGCAUGGCUCCAGCAAGAGGAUGACAUGCAAAUUCAUGAAGCAAUCCAUAUUUAA